GCCGUAAACGAUGUCUACUUGGAGGUUGUGCCCUUGAGGCGUGGCUUCCGGAGCUAACGCGUUAAGUAGACCGCCUGGGGAGUACGGCCGCAAGGUUAAAACUCAAAUGAAUUGACGGGGGCCCGCACAAGCGGUGGAGCAUGUGGUUUAAUUCGAUGCAACGCGAAGAACCUUACCUGGUCUUGACAUCCACGGAAGUUUUCAGAGAUGAGAAUGUGCCUUCGGGAACCGUGAGACAGGUGCUGCAUGGCUGUCGUCAGCUCGUGUUGUGAAAUGUUGGGUUAAGUCCCGCAACGAGCGCAACCCUUAUCCUUUGUUGCCAGCGGUCCGGCCGGGAACUCAAAGGAGACUGCCAGUGAUAAACUGGAGGAAGGUGGGGAUGACGUCAAGUCAUCAUGGCCCUUACGACCAGGGCUACACACGUGCUACAAUGGCGCAUACAAAGAGAAGCGACCUCGCGAGAGCAAGCGGACCUCAUAAAGUGCGUCGUAGUCCGGAUUGGAGUCUGCAACUCGACUCCAUGAAGUCGGAAUCGCUAGUAAUCGUGGAUCAGAAUGCCACGGUGAAUACGUUCCCGGGCCUUGUACACACCGCCCGUCACACCAUGGGAGUGGGUUGCAAAAGAAGUAGGUAGCUUAACCUUCGGGAGGGCGCUUACCACUUUGUGAUUCAUGACUGGGGUGAAGUCGUAACAAGGUAACCGUAGGGGAACCUGC
rnacentral:rRNA from 1 species